rnacentral:piRNA from 1 species
UGCACACUGCACACUGUCCCUUCCCUGAGA